rnacentral:rRNA from 1 species
CAAGUCGAACGAAUCCCGGGGGGCAACUCCCGGGGGAAGUGGCGAAAGGGGCAGUAAGGCAUGGGUAACCUACCCUGGGGACCGGGAUAGCCAUUCUAACGAGUGGGUAAUACCGGGCGACGUAUCGAGGGGGCAUCCUCUUGAUACCAAAUGAAUUUCGCCCUGGGAGGGGCUCAUGUGGUAUUAGCUGGUUGGUGAGGUAACGGCUCACCAAGGCCAAGAUGCCUAGCAGGUGUGAGAGCACGACCUGCGCCACUGGCACUGAGACACUGGCCAGACUCCUACGGGAGGCUGCAGUCGAGGAUCUUCGGCAAUGGGCGCAAGCCUGACCGAGCGACGCCGCGUGCGCGAUGAAGGCCUUCGGGUUGUAAAGCGCUGUCAGGGGGGAGGAAAGCCCAGCAAGGGGUCUGACCUAUCCCCAGAGGAAGCACGGGCUAAGUUCGUGCCAGCAGCCGCGGUAAGACGAACCGUGCGAACGUUGUUCGGAAUCACUGGGCUUAAAGGGCGCGUAGGCGGGCUGCCAAGUCAGAGGUGAAAUCUUUCGGCUCAACCGGAAAAGAGCCCCUGAUACUGGCGGCCUCGAGUGGGGUAGGGGCACGCGGAACUUCCGGUGGAGCGGUGAAAUGCGUAGAUAUCGGAAGGAACGCCGGUGGCGAAAGCGGCGUGCUGGACCCUUUCUGACGCUGAGGCGCGAAAGCCAGGGGAGCGAACGGGAUUAGAUACCCCGGUAGUCCUGGCCCUAAACGAUGGGUACUAGGUAGUGGACUUGACAUGGGUUCACUGCCGAAGCAAAAGUGUUAAGUACCCCGCCUGGGGAAUAUGGUCGCAAGGCUGAAACUCAAAGGAAUUGACGGGGGCUCACACAAGCGGUGGA